GCCUACGACCAUAUUUCCCUGAAAACGUCCGAUCUCAGACGUUAAGUAGGUUCGAGCCUUGUUGGUACUUGGAUGGGAGACCGCCUGGGAAUACCAGGUGUUGUAGGCU
ensembl:rRNA 5S_rRNA 5S ribosomal RNA